rnacentral:lncRNA from 1 species
AAAUUUCAUGUUGUGUUUCGGUUCCCAAAUGGUCCAAAGAACAUUGAUAUGUGAUUUUAAAGUGAAACCGAGCAGAAGAAAGUUGUUUCAAAUACCAGAGCUAAACUAAGUACAGUGUUUGAAAGAAUGGACUCCAUAGCAGGGAAGGAAAAGACCCAACUGGAGUCCACUUUUUAAGAGAUCAGCAAGGGACUGUACAUAUGCAUGUGGUUUUUACCCACUGUAAGUAAUCUUAAACACUUAUUAAAGAGGAGUAGUGGUAAAUGUAAGACUCCUGCCUACCAAAACAUAUAGAUCCUCAUUGCUAUGGGUCUUACAGUGCAGUCUUGGUGAG